AUUGAACGCUGGCGGCAGGCCUAACACAUGCAAGUCGAACGAGUGGCGGACGGGUGAGUAAUGUCUGGGAAACUGACUGAUGGCGGGGGAUAACUACUGGAAACGGUAGCUAAUACCGCAUACCAUCGGAUGUGCCCAGAUGGGAUUAGCUAGUAGGUGGGGUAACGGAUCACCUAGGCGAAGAUCCCUAGCUGUGCUGAGAGGAUGACCAGCCACACUGGAACUGAGACACGGGCCCGACUCCUACGGAAGGCAUCAGUGGGGAAGAGUGCACAAUGGGCGCAAGCCUGAUGCAGCCAUGCCGCGUGUAUGAAGAAGGCCUUCGGGUUGUAAAGUACUUUCAGCGGGGAAGCGUUACCCGCAGAAGAAGCACCGGCUAACUCCGUGCCAGCAGCCGCGGUAAUUC
rnacentral:rRNA from 1 species